CAUGUGAUGACUGGAGUUGACCAACAAUUAAAGCAGAAGAAGACCUGCUCCACCUGCUGAUCUACUGGUUGUAACAGCUUGUGGGAAAGCAUCACUGGACCAAUCAGGCGAGAGAAGACAGAGAGGACUGAGGACUAAAACGAAAAUACUCUGCCUGCCAAAAAAGGCAGACGAUCCAGUGGCCCCAGGUUUACACACCAUCUGCUGGUUUGAGGCAGACCGACCGCUGGGGAGAUGGACCUCACCUGGCACCAUUACUCUGGAUGUAACAGCUCGACUCUCCUGUCAAUCAAAACAUCAAUGACUCGAGAAGCGGACAGCGAGGUUUCUGGUGCCUGGCUGGAGACGAGAUUCUGAUUAUUCAAGAGCCAAAACAAAACGUCAGAAUAAAUAGUUAGAAGGCAGAUUUGUUUUCUAUUUGUUGUUGUUUUCAUUAUUAAUGCUCCAUAACACAAAAUGCAUCAGUGCUGUAUCUCUUGAGUUGAA